rnacentral:rRNA from 1 species
UAGAGUUUGAUCAUGGCUCAGCCUUUGACUUAAAAAAUGGAGAAGUCGUAACAGGUAGCCGUAAGUCGUAACAAGGUAACCGUAGAGUUUGAUCAUGGCUCAGGAAAGUCGUAACAAGGUAACCGUAAGUCGUAACAAGGUAACCGUAAGUCGUAACAGGGUAGCCGUAGAGUUUGAUCAUGGCUCAGGAAAGUCGUAACAAGGUAGCCGUAAGUCGUAACAAGAUAACCGUAGAGUUUGAUCCGUGAGCA